AUACGAAGGGUGCGAGCGUUAAUGGGAAUUACUGGGCGUAAAGCGCGCGUAGGCGGUUGGAUAAGUCGGAUGUGAAAGCCCCGGGCUCAACCUGGGAAUUGCAUUCGAAACUGUCCGGCUAGAGUAUGGUAGAGGGAAGCGGAAUUCCACAUGUAGCGGUGAAAUGCGUAGAUAUGUGGAGGAACACCAGUGGCGAAGGCGGCUUCCUGGACCAAUACUGACGCUGAGGUGCGAAAGCGUGGGGAGCAAACAGGAUUAGAUACCCUAGUAGUCC
rnacentral:rRNA from 1 species